rnacentral:rRNA from 1 species
CCUANGGGGGGCAGCAGUGGGGAAUUUUGCACAAUGGACGCAAGUCUGAUGCAGUGAUUCCGCGUGGAGGAUGACGCAUUACGGUGUGUAAACUCCUUUUCUGGUGGAAGACGAAUGACGGUACACCAGGAAUAAGAGACGGCUAACUACGUGCCAGCAGCCGCGGUAAUACGUAGGUCUCAAGCGUUAUCCGGAUUUACUGGGCGUAAAGUGUACGUAGCCUGAUAUGCAAGUCAGUUUUCAAAUAUUUCGACUCAAUCGAAAAGAGGGAAUAGAUACUGCAUAUCUAGAGAAUAUUGGAGGUUAGUGGAAUUUCCGGUGGAGCGGUGAAAUGCGUUGAUAUCGGAAAGAAUGCCGAAAGCGAAAGCAGCUAACUACAGUAAUUCUGACGGUGAGGUACGACAGCAUGGGUAGCAAACGGGAUUAGAUACCCCGNUANUC